rnacentral:lncRNA from 1 species
CAAAUCUCUGUCAAACUAAGCCCGUUUCCUUAGUAACUAUCUCACUCUCCCACCUAUGUACAAGGACAAUUACUUCUUUCUGCUGAGCGAUGAUGGUGAAGCCAAAAGAGAAGGAAUAAGGCUCUGGACAGAUGGAAGAAAAUCAGAAACAGAACCAGAACAAGUUGCACUGGGACCAAUAUGUACAAAGAAGCAAGCUCUACACUGAGAAGGACAGGAGGACAGACCCUGUCACACUGCUGCCACUCGUGCUGCUUUCACUGUGCUCACCCCUUCUGUCUUCGUGUCACCAUGUGGAGCAAGAGGGAAGUCUUCAUCAGUAUUCACUCUCUGGGCACACUGCAGAAUGUUUGAAGACUGCAAUUUAUCCCGUGAAACUGCACCUGAUGCUGUAUUUCUGUCUUCUCCUGAGUUAGCAGCGUAUUGUUACACAAAGACUUGUAAGAACUGUAAUCACUCACAAGAAUGAACAGUGAUGGCAAGGUUCCGUCUGGGUGAGAGAUGCUCUGGGCACAGGGUGGUGGAAACACGCUACUCUCUCACCAUGUCCCUAAGAGCCAGUUCACCUCAAAUAUUUCUCUCUCCCUGACCCCCAUGUCUCACUUGGAGAGAUUUCCCAAGGAACACUCUUCUGUUGAGCUACUGAAGGCGAUUAGGUGAGAGAUGAGUGCUGUGAGUGAGAGAGCUGACCUGGGGCAGAGGUCAUGACUGAGAUGUUGGAAGGCACGAUGGCAUGAGGGAUGGAGGAGAAAGGCCUUCCCUUCUGGUGGCCAGGGACUGUCAGAGCAGACUGGCUGCAUCAUUGGUCUAUGUCCUUAUCAGCAGUCUAUUACUUCUGCAGUUAGCUGAAAUGUUGGAGAAGUCUGUGGCCCAAUUACUUAGCAACAGCAAAUGUCAUUUACGAGGUAUUUGUAAAUAA